rnacentral:rRNA from 1 species
UGGGGAAUAUUGGACAAUGGGCGAAAGCCUGAUCCAGCCAUGCCGCGUGUGUGAAGAAGGUCUUCGGAUUGUAAAGCAUUUUAAGUCGGGAGGAAGGGCAGUAAGCGAAUACCUUGCUGUUUUGACGUUACCGACAGAAUAAGCACCGGCUAACUCUGUGCCAGCAGCCGCGGUAAUACAGAGGGUGCAAGCGUUAAUCGGAAUUACUGGGCGUAAAGCGCGCGUAGGUGGUUCGUUAAGUUGAAUGUGAAAGCCCCGGGCUCAACCUGGGAACUGCAUCCUAAACUGGCGAGAUAGAGUAGGGCAGAGGGUGGUGGAAUUUCCUGUGUAGCGGUCAAAUGCGUAGAUCUAGGAAGGAACACUAGUGGCGAAGGCGACCACCUGGACUCAUACUGACACUGAGGUGCGAAAGCGUGGGGAGCAAACAGG